rnacentral:rRNA from 1 species
UACGUAGGCAGCGAGCGUUGUUCGGAAUUACUGGGCGUAAAGAGCGCGUAGGCGGUUUGGUAGGUCCGCUGUGAAAACUCGAGGCUCAACCUCGAGACGCCGGUGGAAACCAUCAGACUAGAGUCCGGAAGAGGAGAGUGGAAUUCCUGGUGUAGCGGUGAAAUGCGCAGAUAUCAGGAAGAACACCCGUGGCUAAGGCGGCUCUCUAGUACGGUACUGACGCUGAGACGCGAAAGCGUGGGGAGCGAACAGG